AUGCCCACAUCUGCAGCACAUAUACUAAAAUUGGAACAAUACAGGGAAGACAAGAAUUGCACCUGGACAAGGAUAAGGAAAUUCAUUAAGCAUUUCAUUGUACAGACAUUUU